rnacentral:rRNA from 1 species
UACGUAGGGGGCAAGCGUUGUCCGGAUUUAUUGGGCGUAAAGAGCGUGUAGGCGGCCUGAAAGGUCAGCUGUGAAAACUCGAGGCUCAACCUCGAGACGUCGGUUGAAACCAUCUGGCUAGAGUCCGGAAGAGGAGUGUGGAAUUCCCGGUGUAGCGGUGAAAUGCGCAGAUAUCGGGAAGAACACCCGUGGCGAAGGCGGCACUCUGGGCAGUAACUGACGCUGAGGAGCGAAAGCGUGGGGAGCGAACAGG